rfam:Cavia porcellus supercont2_15 genomic scaffold, whole genome shotgun sequence.
UUGCUUUGGCAGUAGAUAUUCUAAAAUUGGAAUGAUACAAAGAUGAUAGCAUGGUGCUUGAGCAAGGGUGACACGCAAACUCAUGACGAUUCCAUGAAGAUUCCAUAUUUUA